rnacentral:misc_RNA from 1 species
UUAACUUAUUUGUAUAUUACUCGGACAACACAAAAAUCAAGAGUUUAGGGUUCUCUGGCAGGCACGGACCAGCCUAAGCCAGUGGCCGUUAGACGGGCCUGCCAAAGCAACAAAGGUGUGUAAACAAAGGGUGGGAGAUAUACCCCAAAGGGGCAUGUUCUCUGUAAUGAUCCUUCCGCAGGUUCACCUACGGAAA